AGCCGCAUCGGCUCGGGCUCGACGGCGCGGUUCCGCGCACCAACGCCUCUGGCCUUCUCGAUGCCCCACGAUUCCUAUCAGUCGGGUUGUCAAGACCAACGACUGCCGCGCGUUCCAUGUCGACACCCUUGCCCUGGUGAGGAAUCUGGAGUCGCAGGGCGUCUCUAGGGCCGAGAUGUAGAAGAGUGAGAUGCUGCAGGAGGCCAACAUCUUCAAGUUGAAGUCACAAGUGCAAAGUUCACAGGUAUUUGUUGGAACUUGGAAGCAAACUCUAUGGUAUUGGAUAUGUUGAUUAGUAGUUUUGAAAUCCGACAUGAGAUCCAUGUCCCUUUCCUCCAUGUAAUGUGUCAUCUCUGUCCCCUUCUUAAUUUUUCACAUGUACUAGAUAAUAUCAAGGAGGGAGUAGCUACUAGCUAGUAGCUCUGUCUGGUAGUGAUGUAGUCUCUGGUGAAGCGACAUGUGUGGAUGGCAGUCUGCACCAAUAUGCGCACUAGCUAUGUUCAAUGUUCUUUGCUUUACAGGACAUACUAGAAACCAAAUGGCACCCUUUUCUUAAGCACUGUUCAGUUUGUUAAGCACCCUUUUUCUUAUCUCAUUCUGACAUUGUGACAUUUAGAUGAAUAUUGUUGUCGCUGUUGUACCCGAGGGACUACCGCUGGCUGUAACACUUAUUUCUGAUGACAUCCUACGUCUACGGUCAGGUAGUUCCUCGGCUCUCCGUGCUCGCGCUCAUGCUCCAUGAU